AGCUUUGCACAGUGGCAGUAUCAUAACCAAUGAAGUUAAUCUGAGGUGUUGAUUAUUGCUACUUGAAAAUCUGCUCCUUUCCUGGUGGUAGACGGUACAGUACUACUGAACAACGCAGAAACUGUUACCAUCUCGCCUCUUUUUGUUACACUCACCAGU
rnacentral:snRNA from 1 species